GACGAACGCUGGCGGCGUGCUUAACACAUGCAAGUCGAACGGAAAGGCCCUGCUUUUGUGGGGUGCUCGAGUGGCGAACGGGUGAGUAACACGUGAGUAACCUGCCCUUGACUUUGGGAUAACUUCAGGAAAUUGGGGCUAAUACCGGAUAGGAGCUCCUGCUGCUUGGUGGGGGUUGGAAAGUUUCGGCGGUUGGGGAUGGACUCGCGGCUUAUCAGCUUGUUGGUGGGGUAGUGGCUUACCAAGGCUUUGACGGGUAGCCGGCCUGAGAGGGUGACCGGCCAAAUUGGGACUGAGAUACGGCCCAGACUCCUACGGGAGGCAGCAGUGGGGAAUAUUGCACAAUGGGCGGAAGCCUGAUGCAGCAACGCCGCGUGCGGGAUGACGGCCUUCGGGUUGUAGACCGCUUUCGCCUGUGACGAAGCGUGAGUGACGGUAAUGGGUAAAGAAGCACCGGCUAACUACGUG
rnacentral:rRNA from 1 species